GAUGAACGCUGGCGGCGUGCCUAAUACAUGCAAGUCGAGCGGACCAAAGAGAGCUUGCUCUCUGAGGUUAGCGGCGGACGGGUGAGUAACACGUGGGUAACCCGCCUGUAAGACGGGGCUAACUUCGGGAAACUGAAGCUAAUACCGGAUGAUACAGAGAAACGCCUGUUUCUUGUUUGAAAGUCGGCCUUGUGCUGCUGCUUACAGAUUGGCCCGCGGGGGAUUAGCUAGUUGGUGAGGUAACGGCUCACCAGGGCGACGAUGCGAAGCCGACCUGAGAGGGUGAUCGGCCACACUGGGACUGAGACACGGCCCAGACUCCUACGGGAGGCAGCAGUAGGGAAUCUUCGGCAAUGGACGAAAGUCUGACCGAGCAACGCCGCGUGAGCGAUGAAGGCCUUCGGGUCGUAAAGCUCUGUUGUCAGAGAAGAACAAGUACCGGAGUAACUGCCGGUACCUUGACGGUACCUGACCAGAAAGCCACGGCUAACUACGUGCCAGCCGCCGCAGUAACAC
rnacentral:rRNA from 1 species